UACGGGGGGGGCAAGCGUUGUUCGGAAUUACUGGGCGUAAAGGGCUCGUAGGCGGCCAACUAAGUCGGAUGUGAAAUCCCCAGGCUUAACCUGGGAACUGCAUCCGAUACUGGUCGGCUUGAAUCCGGGAGAGGGAUGCAGAAUUCCAGGUGUAGCGGUGAAAUGCGUAGAUAUCUGGAGGAAUACCGGUGGCGAAGGCGGCAUCCUGGACCGGCAUUGACGCUGAACAGCGAAAGCUAGGGGAGCAAACGGG
rnacentral:rRNA from 1 species